GACUAAUUCACUAAACGUCAUGGCAAUUUUCCUGGACUGCAAAAAGGAGCGAGGUUUCACCCGCAGGAAAAGCCUGGCCGCAGGCUGCCACAGGCCAGCCACGCAUGACGUACAGAGCAGCCCUUGUCUCACCCAGUAGGAGUGAUGCAGGCAAAAAACAC
rnacentral:lncRNA from 12 species